rfam:Triticum aestivum genome assembly, contig: Triticum_aestivum_CS42_TGACv1_scaffold_050597_1BS
UUCCUACUCCCUCCGUUCGGAAAUACUUGUCGCAGAGAUGGAUAUAUCUAGACGUAUUUAAGUUCUAGAUACAUUUAUUUUUAUCUAUUUCCCCAACAAGUAUUUCCGGACGGAGGGAGUACAAU